rnacentral:rRNA from 1 species
UACGUAGGUGGCAAGCGUUAUCCGGAAUUAUUGGGCGUAAAGAGCGCGCAGGUGGUUAAUUAAGUCUGAUGUGAAAGCCCACGGCUUAACCGUGGAGGGUCAUUGGAAACUGGUUGACUUGAGUGCAGAAGAGGGAAGUGGAAUUCCAUGUGUAGCGGUGAAAUACGUAGAGAUAUGGAGGAACACCAGUGGCGAAGGCAGCCUGCCGCAGCGUUACUGACGCUGAAGCUCGAAAGCGCGGGUAUCGAACAGG